GACGAACGCUGGCGGCGUGCUUAACACAUGCAAGUCUAACGAUGAAGCUAGAGCUUGCUCUGGUGGAUUAGUGGCGAACGGGUGAGUAACACGUGAGUAACCUGCCCCAAACUCUGGGAUAACUGCUGGAAACGGUAGCUAAUACUGGAUACGACCAACGAAGGCAUCUUCUGUUGGUGGAAAGAAUUUCGGUUCGGGAUGGACUCGCGGCCUAUCAGCUUGUUGGUGAGGUAACGGCUCACCAAGGCGACGACGGGUAGCCGGCCUGAGAGGGUGAUCGGCCACACUGGGACUGAGACACGGCCCAGACUCCUACGGGAGGCAGCAGUGGGGAAUAUUGCACAAUGGGCGCAAGCCUGAUGCAGCAACGCCGCGUGAGGGACGACGGCCUUCGGGUUGUUAACCUCUUUUAGUAGGGAAGAAGCGAAAGUGACGGUACCUGCAGAAAAAGCACCGGCUAACUACGUGCCAGCCGCCGCCGUAA
rnacentral:rRNA from 1 species